rnacentral:snoRNA from 1 species
UCAUGGCCCUAUCGAAGCUGUGUCUGCCUCAUGUGGCUGAUGUAGUCAAAAAGGUGCCAAAAGUAACAUUUUUUCCUUGACGGUCGCUGUUCAGUUUCUUCCCUUGUAACUGCCCAGCAACACUUUCAGGAAAAUACAUAU